AAAAUAUGAAACAUAUAUAUAUCAAAAAAUAUAUAUUUUGCUCUUUUCAUUUGAAUCCAAGAAAUAAAAUUAGAAUCAUUUUCAAUUUUUUUCUUCCACAAUUUGUUUUUGCCAAUGACAUCAUAGUCCGUUAGAAAUACAUAAAAGUUUCUGGUGAAUAUAUUUUUUAAUACUGACUUUUUUUUUUGUUUUUCCUUAAAGCGGGAAUCAUCUAUUGGAUAGGAGGUAAGAUCUCUCUUCAUUUAUACAAUAUGUGAUCAUAUUUAAUUAAUUAUUACUUCUUUUAACGAUUUCUUUUACAUUUAUUUUCGCAGUGUAUUUGCCAGCGAUAUUGACUAUUUUUGGUAAGAAUUCCUUUCAUAGAUGAUUCUAGGGAAAUAGAGUCUAAUUAUAUGUAGAGACAACAUAUAUAAAAGCACAUGACACAUUAUGUAUAGCUAGUUAGAUUUUGUUGGGUAGACUAAGUCUAUAUCUUUAAAUAUGGACCAAACCAAUGAUAUUGUGGGAUUCUGAAUUUCAUUUCAGCAUUUAUGUUCUAUUCUAUGCAAACUUUUUGAAUUUAAUUCAAAAUACUGCAAUUUUAUUGAUUUAGUCUCCUAAAUUUGGUUUAAGCAAGAAUUAAACUUUAUGCGAUCAGAACUAAUAUCAAAUAACUAACGAUGUUUUAUACCCCUUGAUCUUGAUUGUUUCCAUAUAUUUCAUCAGGAAUGUUUCUUCUUGUAAGAAACUUAUGUGGGACACCAUGUGUAAUGGCAUUUCUCAUUUAUAAAUGGCGAAGGAGAC
rnacentral:misc_RNA from 1 species